GCCAGGCACAGUGGCACAUGCCUACAGUCCCAGCUACUCGGGAGGCUGAGGCUGGGGCUGGAAGAUCACUUGAGUCCAGGAGUUCUGGGCUGUAGUGCAUAUGCCGAUCGGGUGUCUGCACUAAGUUCAGCAUCAAUACCGUGACCUCCUGGUAGUGGGGACCACCAGGUUGCCUAAGAAGGGAUGAACCGGCCCAGAUCAGAAAUACAGCAGGUCAAAAUACCAAUAGAAGUUGAUCCCUGAUUCCCUAGUUCUACUUAUCCCUGGGCUCACAGAGAGUGU
ensembl:misc_RNA Metazoa_SRP Metazoan signal recognition particle RNA